AGCGCAGGCGGGAUAGCAAGUUGGAUGUGAAAUACCGGGGCUCAACCCCGGAGCUGCAUCCAAAACUGUUAUUCUUGAGUGAAGUAGAGGUUGGCGGAAUUCCGAGUGUAACGGUGAAAUGCGUAGAUAUUCGGAGGAACACCAGUGGCGAAGGCGGCCAACUGGGCUUUAACUGACGCUGAGGCUCGAAAGCAUGGGGAGCAAACA
rnacentral:rRNA from 1 species